AGUGAACGCUGGCGGUAGGCCUAACACAUGCAAGUCGAACGGCAGCACAGUAAGAGCUUGCCCUUACGGGUGGCGAGUGGCGGACGGGUGAGGAAUACAUCGGAAUCUACUUUUUCGUGGGGGAUAACGUAGGGAAACUUACGCUAAUACCGCAUACGACCUACGGGUGAAAGCAGGGGAUCUUCGGACCUUGCGCGAUUGAAUGAGCCGAUGUCGGAUUAGCUAGUUGGCGGGGUAAAGGCCCACCAAGGCGACGAUCCGUAGCUGGUCUGAGAGGAUGAUCAGCCACACUGGAACUGAGACACGGUCCAGACUCCUACGGGAGGCAGCAGUGGGGAAUAUUGGACAAUGGGCGCAAGCCUGAUCCAGCCAUACCGCGUGGGUGAAGAAGGCCUUCGGGUUGUAAAGCCCUUUUGUUGGGAAAGAAAAGCAGCAGGUUAAUACCCCGCUGUUCUGACGGUACCCAAAGAAUAGGCACCGGCUAACUUCG
rnacentral:rRNA from 1 species